GGCCUCAUAGUUCAGCUGGUAGAGCGUGCGCUUACAGGUCGUAGGCGGCGUCCGUGCGUGGGUUCGAAUCCAACCGAGGCUG
rnacentral:tRNA from 1 species